UGGGGAAUAUUGCACAAUGGGCGGAAGCCUGAUGCAGCGACGCCGCGUGGGGGAUGACGGUCUUCGGAUUGUAAACCCCUUUCAGUAGGGACGAAGCGCAAGUGACGGUACCUGCAGAAGAAGCACCGGCUAACUACGUGCCAGCAGCCGCGGUAAUACGUAGGGUGCGAGCGUUGUCCGGAAUUACUGGGCGUAAAGAGCUCGUAGGCGGUUUGUCACGUCGUCUGUGAAAUCCUUCGGCUUAACCGGGGGCGUGCAGGCGAUACGGGCAGACUUGAGUACUACAGGGGAGACUGGAAUUCCUGGUGUAGCGGUGAAAUGCGCAGAUAUCAGGAGGAACACCGGUGGCGAAGGCGGGUCUCUGGGUAGUAACUGACGCUGAGGAGCGAAAGCAUGGGUAGCGAACA
rnacentral:rRNA from 1 species